CAUACCUAUUCGAAGGGAUAGGGUCGGUUCGGCCGGGUUUCACACAGGUGUUGCAUGGCUGUCGUCAGCUCGUGUCGUGAGAUGUUGGGUUAAGUCCCGCAACGAGCGCAACCCUCAUCCUUAGUUACCAUCAGGUAAUGCUGGGGACUUUAAGGAAACUGCCAGUGAUAAACUGGAGGAAGGUGGGGAUGAUGUCAAGUCAUCAUGGCCCUUAUGGAGUGGGCUACACACGUGCUACAAUGGUGGCUACAAUGGGCUGCAAAGUCGCGAGGCUAAGCCAAUCCCUUAAAAGCCAUCUCAGUUCGGAUUGUACUCUGCAACUCGAGUGCAUGAAGUUGGAAUCGCUAGUAAUCGUGGAUCAGCACGCCACGGUGAAUACGUUCUCGGGUCUUGUACACACUGCCCGUCACGCCAUGGGAAUUGGUUUCACUCGAAGCU
rnacentral:rRNA from 4 species